rnacentral:lncRNA from 1 species
ACACCCCUUGCCACUCUGCCACAUGGUUCACCCGUGGUAGGCGUGGGAUCCAGGCCAGUAGCGUAAGCUGAGUGCAGCCUGUUAAGCUGAGUGGGCAGAAUGAGCCCAGCAGGCCCAAGCAAAGGUUGGGUAAAGGCAUCACUGGCCACAGAGGUUUCCGGCCAGAAAAGUAACACCCAAAGAUCCUGUUACAGUCAUUUAGCUGUUAUUUCUUGAAGGUCCUUCUGUGAUCAUCUCCCCCUAACUGUGGAUUCGACCAGUGACUUGUUUCUAAGGAAUAGAAUAUGUUGAUCACUGGAAUGGUUGUAAACAUCUUCAUUCAUCUGGUUUUGAUAUAGAAGGAGGAUGACACUUCUCAAAUGCAUCAACAACGGAGAAAGAAUAAUUCACAAACUACUUAUCACAAGGUAAACCCACGAUCAUUUUUCUUCUACUGAGCAAAGAACACCUAAGAGACAGGAGACCUGGCUUCAAAUUCUGGCUCCAUCAAUAACUUACAGCAUGACUUAAGCAAGACACUUCACUUCUAUGGACCCCAAUUUUCCCAUCAGUAACAUGGAUGGAGUGUGCUACACCAAUAUUUCUCCAAGUGUGUUCCAAAGAACAUUAGGUUCAUGAGGUGCUCUUUGAAAAACUCUUCUAUGGUCAAAUAGAUUUGGGAAAUACUGUGAACUUUAACCACUGCUUUGAGGACAGCUGAGGCUCAUAACAAUAAGAGAGGCUCUGAUAACUCCUAUGCUAAGGAAAUCUGCUAGACUUUAACCUGACAUUUCCUAAUCUUGAGAGGUGAAAUUUAUAUAUUCAAGUAUUAAUCUGUUAUUAAACUGUUUUACCACUCAUGAAUUGGUCAAUGGUACAGAGAAGCUCAGAUUCCAGUGAGAAAAAUGAAUUAUCUCAGUAACUAAGACUCAGAGUAAGGGAAAAAGAGGGAGAGCUGAGGACUGACAUGGGGAAAAAGAAACCUUUUAUGCAUUGAGAAGCUGCAGGAAAUCUUUCAUGCAUCGAGAAGCUAUGAGAAAGCUCUGCACCAAGCCAAUGUGUCCCUCUUCUAUGUGGGUGACCUGCAAACUGCUAGCGACUAACCCAUGGAACUUUGAGAGUCUGGAUGGAAGUGAUGUUUAUCAUUGCCCAUGAGAUUCUGCCUAAACCUCUCACCUGUUCCAGAUGGACCAUCUCCUGUAGACAAGCUGCUGAUGUAAAGGUCCUAGACACUCAUAAGUCACUCAGAACAAAAAGGGAUUUGGCCACCUUUUGAGGGGAGGAUGAUAAUGAGAGGAAACGCCUUCAGAUCAAGGUGGGGCAGGUACGGCCAGUUGGAAAUUCCCUUCUGAGCCAGGAAAAUGGUGGUGAUUUCAUUUCCAUUUAUGUUGUUUAACCAUGAGACAUCGUAGUAGAUAAUGCUUCCUUAUACCAUAUUCUCAUACUCACCUAGAUCGUUUGCAGCUAUGGUGUCAGUACCAGAAGCUGGCAGCUUCUCUCUCAACUCUCUCUCUUUUUCUAAGCCUGAGGAUAUUUUUUAGCAGAAGCAUGUUCUACAGCAAGCAGACACAGCUCAGAAGUGUAGGAAAAUUAAUACCUCCAAAGGUAGUCUCCAGCCAGAGGGAGAUGCAAACUGGUGGAUACAAGCCUCAGUCCCCCUGUACUCGUGUAGGGUAAUUUUGAAGUAUACUCUACUUUUUUCGGAGCAUCUUCAGCAGAGCUGAGCUCCAAUAGCCUAUAUUAGUAGUUCAAUUUUUAUUGCACCUUUCCUUGGCUUUUCUCCUUUCUGCGUCUUAAUUUAUCCAUUUCUCCACUUGUAUUUCUUGAGAUAAACACCCAAGUAAACUACCUGAAGCCAAAACUGUGUAUCAAGUUCUGCUUUGGGGGAAACCCUCACAAAAAUAAAAACUUUUUCAUGUGGCACUCCUUAGGUAAUCAUAAAAUUCCCUCUUGCCCUAAACUUCAAUGCUCACUCCUUUGGUCACUCUCAGUGGCCAACUCUGAGCCAGUCCCCAUUUCACCAGGAGUGAGAGAAUGAAGACAAGUUUGACCACAUUUGGAUUUUUUUUUAAAAUUAUACUUUAAGUUCUGGGGUACAUGUGCAGAACGUGCA